rnacentral:rRNA from 1 species
AUUGAACGCUGGCGGAAUGCUUUACACAUGCAAGUCGAACGGUAGAGGGGGCAACCCCUCGAGAGUGGCGAACGGGUGAGUAAUAUAUCGGAACGUGCCCAGUCGUGGGGGAUAACGUAGCGAAAGUUACGCUAAUACCGCAUACGAUCUACGGAUGAAAGCGGGGGAUCGCAAGACCUCGCGCGAUUGGAGCGGCCGAUAUCAGAUUAGGUAGUUGGUGGGGUAAAGGCUCACCAAGCCAACGAUCUGUAGCUGGUCUGAGAGGACGACCAGCCACACUGGAACUGAGACACGGUCCAGACUCCUACGGGAGGCAGCAGUGGGGAAUUUUGGACAAUGGGGGCAACCCUGAUCCAGCAAUGCCGCGUGAGUGAAGAAGGCCUUCGGGUUGUAAAGCUCUUUGUCAGGGAGAAACAGCAGCUCUAACACAGUCUGCGAAUGACGGUACCUGAAGAAUAAGCACCGGCUAACUACGUG